rnacentral:SRP_RNA from 1 species
GCUGGGUGUGGUGGCGUGCACCUGUAGUCCUAGCUACUUGGAGGCCAAGGUGGGAGGAUCACUUGAGUCUAGGAAGCCCAGGUUGCGGUGACUGCACUCUAGCCUGGGCAACAGAGUGAGAUCCUAUCUCAA